GGGCAUGUAGCGCAGUUGGUAGCGCGCUCGCUUAGCAUGCGAGAGGUCCUCGAUUCGAAUUGGGGCUUGACAG
rnacentral:tRNA from 1 species